GAUGAACGCUGGCGGCGUGCUUAAUACAUGCAAGUCGAGCGAACGGACGAGAAGCUUGCUUUUCUGAUGUUAGCGGCGGACGGGUGAGUAACACGUGGAUAAUCUACCUAUAAGACUGGGAUAACUUCGGGAAACCGGAGCUAAUACCGGAUAAUAUUUUGAACCGCAUGGUUCAAAAGUGAAAGACGGUCUUGCUGUCACGUAUAGAUGGAUCCGCGCUGCAUUAGCUAGUUGGUAAGGUAACGGCUUACCAAGGCAACGAUGCAUAGCCGACGUGAGAGGGGGAUCGGCCACACGGGAACUGAGACACGGUCCAGACUCCUGCGAGAGGCAGCAGUAGGGAAUCUUCCGCAGCGGGCGAGAGCCUGGCGGAGCGACGCCACGUGAGUUAUGAAAGUCUUCGGAGCGUAAAGCUCUGUUAUUGGUGGUAAACAGAUGUGUAAGUAGCUGUGCACAGCUUGACGGUACCUAAUCAGAAAGCCACGGCUAACUACGUG
rnacentral:rRNA from 1 species